rnacentral:tRNA from 1 species
GGGCGGUGGAGGCACAGCAAAAUGCAAAUUUGAAGAACCACCCCAUAAGGUGCCCCGGCU